AGCUCCAAUAGCGUAUAUUAAAGUUGUUGCAGUUAAAAAGCUCGUAGUUGGAUGUCUGGCCUUGUGUUGCGGUCCACCGCGAGGUGAGCACUGCGAUGUGGGGUCUUCCUCCUGAGUGCUGCGUGUGCUCUUAGUUGAGUGUGCGGAGUGUUUGGGAUCUUUACUUUGAAAAAAUUAGAGUGUUCAAAGCAGGCGAUUGCUUGAAUAUAUUAGCAUGGAAUAAUGGAAUAGGACUUUGGUUCUAUUUUGUUGGUUUCUAGGACCGAGGUAAUGAUUAAUAGGGGUAGUUGGGGGCAUUCGUAUUUAAUUGUCAGAGGUGAAAUUCUUGGAUUUAUGAAAGACGAACUUCUGCGAAAGCAUUUGCCAAGGAUGUUUUCA
rnacentral:rRNA from 1 species